GCAACUGCACGUAGUUCUUAUGAGAACUUAUUAAAAUUAUGUUUUCUCGACUGUCGCAAGCGAGCUUCGAUGAAAUCUUUGUCUUCCUAUUCUAGGGUCCACUAAUACCAGCGGCGUUCACUAAUGGCUACCAUUGAGCCUUGUUAAGACCUAAUAACAGGAUGGACGAAAGGGCAGAACGCAGCACGGUCGACUGACGGUACAAUGAGCGAUGUGAAUGCCUUGGCAAGACCAACCAGGAUCUCUGGACGCUGGAAUGGGGACGCUUAUUUAACAUCACACGAGCAAUAUACGGGGGAGAAUCGCGAUUUAGAAGGAUAACGGUUUCCAACUAGCGAGGAGGCUUCGAGCUCUAGCGAAAGCGCGGUCGGUCGAACAAAAACCAGAAGAGUAAAAUAAAUAACUGACCGCGAUUUUCUAGCGGGGAACAAAAUAGCAAAAGAACACCAAAUGCAUUUGGAAAAUAAAGAUAGAAGCAAACUUUUAAGUUAGAAGGGACGAACGAAGAGGAGGUGGGUGGGAGCGGGGGUGGCUAAAGGGGAACAGUAAUGCGAGAGGAAGAAUUGUAGAAAAAAUUGUAAAUCGCGAUACACGUCCAAAUAGUUUGCGAGAGGCGCGAGAAUAGAAGAUGCAUAAGCUGAAAGUAAGAAAAACGCGAAAAGGGCAGAAGCUGCGUGAAAAGUUAGGCGUGACCGAAACUGCGUAUUUAAUGCCCGUUCUCCGACAUUAAUAAAGAAUAAUAUAAUAAUAAUAA